CUUCAGUGAUGAUUCGAUGACGAGUCAGAUUUGGACGUUUCUGAUGGAGGUUUCUCCUAUACAAAGCCACGUUCUGUGUCUCUGUAUGUGGGGUCUCCACCGGAUUUGUGUCCAUACUCCUGAUUGAUUUAGAGGCAUUUGUCUGAGAAGG